rnacentral:rRNA from 1 species
AACGAACGCUGGCGGCAGGCUUAACACGUGCAAGUCGAGCGCCCCGCAAGGGGAGCGGCAGACGGGUGAGUAACGCGUGGGAAUCUACCCAUCUCUACGGAAUAACGCAUGGAAACGUGUGCUAAUACCGUAUACGUCCUUCGGGAGAAAGAUUUAUCGGAGACGGAUGAGCCCGCGUUGGAUUAGCUAGUUGGUGGGGUAAAGGCCUACCAAGGCGACGAUCCAUAGCUGGUCUGAGAGGAUGAUCAGCCACACUGGGACUGAGACACGGCCCAGACUCCUACGGGAGGCAGCAGUGGGGAAUAUUGGACAAUGGGCGCAAGCCUGAUCCAGCCAUGCCGCGUGAGUGAUGAAGGCCCUAGGGUUGUAAAGCUCUUUCACCGGUGAAGAUAAUGACGGUAACCGGAGAAGAAGCCCCGGCUAACUUCGUGCCAGCCGCCGCAGUAAAAC